CCAUGUACAUGGAUCAUUCCGUCCUUUGCUGGAGCUUAUGAUCUGAAACUUAUGGAGCCACACUAGGGCUAGAAAACAUGUCUAAAUGCUGAUGUUACAG